GAAUAUUGGACAAUGGGCGCAAGCCUGAUCCAGCCAUGCCGCGUGAGUGAUGAAGGCCCUAGGGUUGUAAAGCCCUUUUGUCCGGGACGAUAAUGACGGUACCGGAAGAAUAAGCCCCGGCUAACUUCGUGCCAGCAGCCGCGGUAAUACGAAGGGGGCUAGCGUUGCUCGGAAUCACUGGGCGUAAAGGGCGCGUAGGCGGACGUUUAAGUCAGGGGUGAAAUCCCGGGGCUCAACCUCGGAAUUGCCUUUGAUACUGGAUGUCUCGAGACCGGAAGAGGUAAGUGGAACUGCGAGUGUAGAGGUGAAAUUCGUAGAUAUUCGCAAGAACACCAGUGGCGAAGGCGGCUUACUGGUCCGGUUCUGACGCUGAGGCGCGAAAGCGUGGGGAGCAAACAG
rnacentral:rRNA from 1 species